AAAAAAGUUGAGUUUUAGCUUUAUAUUGCGACGCUGGACGUGUGGCACUUGUAAUUUGAAUUCUACAGUUAAGCCAAAAAAGCGAUGGUUUUGUAAAUUCAAUUUCGAAACUCAUCGACAUUUUUACUAAGUUCCCAUUGUCACUAAGGUGUUCGACAUCGAUUAGCGUCAUUCGUCCUCUUAGAUUAAUCCGAAAAGAACGAAUUAUUCACGGUCGUCCGACUCGACCGUCGAAUGAGUAGUACCAGUCGUAAUGCGGCAGCGCCAAAUCGCGGGUGUGAAGAGCUUUCCUUACCAAGGACGAUGCUCUCUCAAGAGUCUGCACGGAUAUGAAUGGAAGCGAAUUUUCCAUUUAUCGAGGAAGAAAAGGGAUUGUCCCUUUAGCCAGUCAAAUCUUGCCGAUACAACUGAAUUCAGCGAAAGAUUUGACGCAGACAUUAGACUCAUAUGCAGUUUGGAGAACUAGGCCUAUCCUCUUCCGGGUUUUCAGCUUGCAUCUAAUACUUUAAGAUCUGUCAGUGGGCUUCUGUACUGGCCCCACAUCCCCUGCUUGAGGUCAAAGGUCAUCUAUCAUCAGUCUUCCUCAAAGGGUCAAGUUUCAUUGCUAUUAAGG